rnacentral:lncRNA from 1 species
UUUUUUAGUCAUAUAGAAUAUCUUUCAAAAGGAUAUAAUGUAGCAUUGGAAUAAAAAGCUCCGGAGCAUUUAGAACAUGCAUUACAAAGUGAUGUAAUUAUAUUUUCUGGAAUAGAUUAUAGAAAUUUCAAAGCUCAAAGGCCUUUGUGUGACCAAUCCAUGUGAUGUCUUCUCCUUGGCAAAAACUUCAAGAUCUAUUUUAAAAUUUUAUUGAUGGCAAUUCUAAAAAUAACAAGUGAUCGUGAUCAUGAAUGUGGGUUUUGAAAAGAAGAAUAUCAUAGCAAGUCCAAAAUGAUUAAAGAGCAUCCUUCAAAGUUUCUUUUUUUUUUUUUCAGGGUCUUGCUUUGUCACCCAGGCUGGAGUGCAGUGGAGUGAUUACAGCUCACUGAAACCUACAAAUCCCAGGCUGAAGCAAUCCUCCUGGCUCAGCUUCCUGAAUAGCUAGGACUACAGGUGCUCGGGUGCUCACCAUCAUGCCCAGCUAAUCAAGGUUCUAAAUCCUCAUAAUGGUUGCCAGAUUCGGCUGUGUGAUUUGUAUCCUGCAAUAAAAUGCACAGACCACAAGUUUGCCUUUCUGCACCCACUGUUCCACCAGCAACGUGCACAAAACAAUGCCCAUCAUUGUCUCCCGGGAGCUUUGUGCAGACCUGAAGUGACAAAAGGGAGUAACUUCAAACAAAUCAACAGAAUGUAAUUACAGGUAAGGAGUUUGGCUUUACUCUUUCGAAAGGCCUUUGAGGCCCGGGAUAAAUUUUGACUCAACACCAAUUGGACUGGUUUUAGGAUCAGUUGUUUAUUUAAAUCUAUUACAUCCAGAUUUCACAUGAGCCAAGAGACCCACCUGCAAAUCCUGACCAAAGUUUACUGUCUUCCAACUACCAUCUGGGACAGGGAAAAUCCCCAGAAAAAGUUGAAGUGAAAGAUAUUGGUAAUAUGACCUCUAGCACUAUCAGCAUGGACAAGAACCAAGUUGUUAAGGCC